rnacentral:lncRNA from 1 species
AAUUAUUGGUCGUCCCACUGUCUAUAUCACUCUGUUCAGCUCUUAAUAUUAUUCCGUAUCAUGUCUUUGUGACGUCAAAUACGUUGACCCGGCCUUAAUAACUUUGACCCGGACAUAUCAGCGACGUCAUAAUGUUUGAACCGACGUUAAUAACUUUGACCCGAUCUUAUCAAGUCAUCUUUUGUGUGCUGGUGAAACAAAGAAAACAUUUCUGAAACACGCAAAUAUAGCCCGAUAAAUCGAUUAUCAGAUUAUCUGCAUAUUGAUAUUGUAAAAUAUCAGCUGCUUGACAUUAUAUGAAGGCUUUUUGAUCUCGUUCGCUACGCUCACUCGACAAAAAGCUUCAUAUUAUGUCUCGCAGCUGAUAUUUUACGAUAUCAACAUGCAGAUAACCUGAUAAUCGGUACAUAUA